GGAAUAUUGGACAAUGGCCGAGAGGCUGAUCCAGCCAUGCCGCGUGCGGGAGGACGGCCCUAUGGGUUGUAAACCGCUUUUGUUGGGGAGCAAUAAGUCUUACGUGUAAGAUGAUGAGAGUACCCAGCGAAUAAGCAUCGGCUAACUCCGUGCCAGCAGCCGCGGUAAUACGGAGGAUGCGAGCGUUAUCCGGAUUUAUUGGGUUUAAAGGGUGCGUAGGCGGGCUGUUAAGCGUGAGGUGAAAGCUCGGGGCUCAACCCCGGAACUGCCUCGCGAACUGGCGGUCUUGAAUGUCCGUGCCGUGGGAGGAAUGUGUGGUGUAGCGGUGAAAUGCAUAGAGAUCACACAGAACACCGAUUGCGAAGGCAUCUCACGAACGGAUGAUUGACGCUGAGGCACGAAAGCGUGGGGAUCAAACA
rnacentral:rRNA from 1 species